rnacentral:rRNA from 1 species
ACGCUCGACACCUACGGGAGGCAGCAGUGGGGAAUAUUGCACAAUGGGGGAAACCCUGAUGCAGCGACGCCGCGUGAAGGAUGAAGUAUUUCGGUAUGUAAACUUCUAUCAGCAGGGAAGAAAGUGACGGUACCUGACUAAGAAGCCCCGGCUAACUACGUUCCAGCAGCCGCGGUAAUCUGAGCGGGCUGGCAAGGC